rnacentral:rRNA from 1 species
UACAGAGGGGGCAAGCGUUAUUCGGAAUUAUUGGGCGUAAAGGGCGCGUAGGCGGCCUGGCAAGUGGAAGGUGAAAUCCCUCGGCUUAACCGAGGAACUGCCCUCCAAACUGCUUGGCUUGAGUCCGGGAGAGGUGAGUGGAAUUCCCAGUGUAGCGGUGAAAUGCGUAGAUAUUGGGAAGAACACCGGUGGCGAAGGCGGCCAUCUGGACCGCAACUGACGCUGAGGCGCGAAAGCGUGGGGAGCAAACAGGG